GAUGAACGCUGGCGGCGUGCCUAAUACAUGCAAGUCGAGCGAACAGACGAGGAGCUUGCUCCUCUGACGUUAGCGGCGGACGGGUGAGUAACACGUGGAUAACCUACCUAUAAGACUGGGAUAACUUCGGGAAACCGGAGCUAAUACCGGAUAACAUGUUGAACCGCAUGGUUCAACAGUGAAAGACGGUCUUGCUGUCACUUAUAGAUGGAUCCGUGCCGCAUUAGCUAGUUGGUAAGGUAACGGCUUACCAAGGCAACGAUGCGUAGCCGACCUGAGAGGGUGAUCGGCCACACUGGAACUGAGACACGGUCCAGACUCCUACGGGAGGCAGCAGUAGGGAAUCUUCCGCAAUGGGCGAAAGCCUGACGGAGCAACGCCGCGUGAGUGAAGAAGGUCUUCGGAUCGUAAAACUCUGUUAUUAGGGAAGAACAAAUGUGUAAGUAACUAUGCACGUCUUGACGGUACCUAAUCAGAAAGCCACGGCUAACUACGUG
rnacentral:rRNA from 1 species